rnacentral:lncRNA from 1 species
CCUAGCUAGAGGGUUCUGGAGUCUGAAAUCCCUGGUUUUGGGCCAGUCCCAUCAGGAGGGUCUCUUGGCACCACUCAGACCAGACUCCUGAGUGCACAGAUGGGAUAACAAGUGCCAGGCCCGAGCCGCUGCCAGCUUGACUGUGUUCCCUUCUCCUGGUCUGGCUGAGAGCAGCAGAGACGCCUGGGGGCAGCCACCCAUUCUGUGCCAGUCCCCUUGCUGGGCCCUGGGGCAGAAGACUCACAUGAGACCCUGCCCCUUCCUAGCUCACAGUCUGCCCAGGGAACGGGUGAGUAUAAUCUAGUGUGCAGGAGCUCCAGGGGAGCUCAGAGGCCCGUGGGAGCAGUGGAGA